AUUGGUUUCCGCAUCCCAAACAAGGGGAGGAAUCAAAAGGGAAACGGGUUGGAUUCCCGUACAGUUCCCGCUGCUGUGUUUUCCAUAAGGGUUUGGACAUUCUUUGCCACUGAUAACAUCGGGAAGGCGUCCAGACUGGAAUAAGUCAGAAGACCUGCCAAUGCCAAU
rnacentral:ncRNA from 1 species